GGUGAUCCUGAGGUGACCUCAAAGGUGACCCUGAAGGUGUCCCCAAGGGCAACCACAAGGAUGACCCCAAAGGUGACCUCAAAGGUGACUCCGAGGUGACCCCAAAAGCACCCCCAGAGUGACCCUGAGGGUGACCUCGAGGUGCCCCCAAAGUGACCCUGAGGAUGACCCAAAGGUGUCCCCAGAGGUGCCCCCAAAGUGACCCUGAGGGUGACCCAAAGGUGCCCCAAAGUGACCCCUAGAAUGACCUGAAGGUGACCCCAAAGGUGACCACAAAGUGACCCUGAAGGUGACCCAAAGGUGCCCCCAAAGUGACCCCGAGGGUGACCUGAAGGUGCCCCCAAAGUGACCACAAAGGUGACCCCAAGGGUGACAUGAAGGUCCCCCAAAGUGACCCCAAAUUUGCCCCCAAAGGUGCCCUCAAGGUGACCCAAAGGCGCCCCCAAAAUGACCCCGAGGGUGACCUAUAGGUGACUUGAAGGUGCCCCAAGGUGACCACCAAGGUGACCCCAAGGGUGACUUGAAGGUGACCCUGAGGGUGACUGAAGGUGACCCAAAGGUGGCCCCAAAGUGACCCUGAAGGUGACUCGAAGGUGCCCCCAAAGGCACCUCUCAAGGUGACCCAAAGAUGUCCCCAAGGUGACCCAAAGAUGUCCCCAAGGUGACCCCAAAGGCGCCCCAAAGUGACCCCAAGGGUGACCCAUAGGUGACUCGAAGGUGCCCCAAAGUUUCCCCCCAAGGCGCCCCCAAGGUGACCACAAAGGUGACCAGAAGGUGACCACAAAGGUGUCCCCAAAGUGACCCCAACGGCGCCCCAAGGUGACAACAAAGGUGACCAGAAGGUGACCCAAAGGUGUCCCCAAAGUGACCCCAAAGGCGCCCCCAAGGUGACCACAAAGGUGACCAGAAGGUGACCCCAAGGCAUCCCUAAAGGUGACCCCAAAGGUGCCCCCAAGGUGACAACAAAGGUGACCAGAAGGUGACCCAAAGGUGUCCCCAAGGUGACCCAAAGACGUCCCCAAGGUGACCCCAAAGUGUCCCAAAGGCGCCCCAAAGUGACCCCAAGGGUGACCCAUAGGUGACUCGAAGGUGCCCCAAAGUUUCCCCCAAAGGCGCCCCAAGGUGACCACAAAGGUGACCAGAAGGUGACCCCAAGGCAUCCCUAAAGGUGACCCCAAAGGUGCCCCCAAGGUGACAACAAAGGUGACCCAAAGGUGUCCCCAAAGUGACCCCAAAGGCACCCCAAGGUGGCCACAAAGGUGAC